rnacentral:lncRNA from 1 species
UCUAAAUAGGCAUCAACAUCAGCCUUACCAUUGAAGCUUGGAAUCUUCAUCUUUAUGGAGUUCAUAUUGUUAUCUACAUAGGGUACACGAUCAUUGAACCUUCUGGCUCGGAAAGGGGCUGAUUGUGCCACAUUUUCCUCUUCAUAGGAUGGAUCGUGUGUAUCAUCAUCCCCCUGAUUGGACUUGCCCUUUGAAGAUCUAAGGUUGUCCUCAAGGUUAUCCAUUCUCAAAUUUAGCUUCUGAAAGCUAUCCAUGAAAGCUUUAUACAUAUCUUUAAGAUCAAACGUAGGGUCAGAAGUAUCACCAGUAUUAUGCUCAGACAUUAUAGAAAAAUUCACAAUUCUCUCAACUCACUUGUUUAACUUUCAAGCACUCACUUGGUAUCUCAAAAGUACACUUCAGAAUAAAGACUCAAUAAGCCAAGUUUGUAUGAUUCAAAUAAUAAGGAAAGCAAGGAAAGACCUAACAAGAAAAGAUAGGAAACAACACUAGAUGCAAACUGACCAAAAUGAACAAACAGAUUGAUUUAGCACACAAAAGUGAAAUUUCGUGUACUAAGUGUAAUUAGAUGUUCAACAAUGUGCAAUUUGUCAAACUAAGUGUAAGGAACCAACAAACAGAAAGACACCAAAUUGACAAACUAAGAAUAAAAAAUUAACAAGACGGAUGUGCUUAACACGAAGUUAUCCCUAAGCAUGCAAUCCUAGGUUAACUGAUCUUAAUAUUGACUCAACAAAAACAAUUCAAAGCAAGCAAACAAAAAAGACACUUAAAACAGCAAGUAUUAAGUAAAACUAUUUUUGUGAAAAUACUACCCAAAUUUGCCCUAAACCUACCCCAAACAUGUAUUUCGAAUCCCAAACCCU